UGCAAGUCGAACGGCAGCACGGGAGCAAUCCUGGUGGCGAGUGGCGAACGGGUGAGUAAUAUAUCGGAACGUGCCCAAUCGUGGGGGAUAACGCAGCGAAAGCUGUGCUAAUACCGCAUACGAUCUACGGAUGAAAGCGGGGGAUCGCAAGACCUCGCGCGAGUGGAGCGGCCGAUAUCAGAUUAGCUAGUUGGUGAGGUAAAGGCUCACCAAGGCGACGAUCUGUAGCUGGUCUGAGAGGACGACCAGCCACACUGGAACUGAGACACGGUCCAGACUCCUACGGGAGGCAGCAGUGGGGAAUUUUGGACAAUGGGCGCAAGCCUGAUCCAGCAAUGCCGCGUGCAGGAUGAAGGCCUUCGGGUUGUAAACUGCUUUUGUACGGAGCGAAACGGUUCUCUCUAAUAAAGGGGGCUAAUGACGGUACCGUAAGAAUAAGCACCGGCUAACUACGUGCCAGCAGCCGCGGUAAUACGUAGGGUGCGAGCGUUAAUCGGAAUUACUGGGCGUAAAGCGUGCGCAGGCGGUUUUGUAAGACAGAUGUGAAAUCCCCGGGCUCAACCUGGGACCUGCAUUUGUGACUGCAAAGCUAGAGUACGGUAGAGGGGGAUGGAAUUCCGCGUGUAGCAGUGAAAUGCGUAGAUAUGCGGAGGAACACCGAUGGCGAAGGCAAUCCCCUGGACCUGUACUGACGCUCAUGCACGAAAGCGUGGGGAGCAAACAGGAUUAGAUACCCUGGUAGUCCACGCCCUAAACGAUGUCAACUGGUUGUUGGGUCUUUGCUGACUCAGUAACGAAGCUAACGCGUGAAGUUGACCGCCUGGGGAGUACGGCCGCAAGGUUGAAGCUCAAAGGAAUUGACGGGGACCCGCACAAGCGGUGGAUGAUGUGGUUUAAUUCGAUGCAACGCGAAAAACCUUACCCACCUUUGACAUGUACGGAAUCCUUUAGAGAUAGAGGAGUGCUCGAAAGAGAGCCGUAACACAGGUGCUGCAUGGCUGUCGUCAGCUCGUGUCGUGAGAUGUUGGGUUAAGUCCCGCAACGAGCGCAACCCUUGUCAUUAGUUGCUACAUUUAGUUGGGCACUCUAAUGAGACUGCCGGUGACAAGCCGGAGGAAGGUGGGGAUGACGUCAAGUCCUCAUGGCCCUUAUAGGUGGGGCUACACACGUCAUACAAUGGCUGGUACAAAGGGUUGCCAACCCGCGAGGGGGAGCUAAUCCCAUAAAGCCAGUCGUAGUCCGGAUCGUAGUCUGCAACUCGACUACGUGAAGUCGGAAUCGCUAGUAAUCGUGGAUCAGAAUGUCACGGUGAAUACGUUCCCGGGUCUUGUACACACCGCCCGUCACACCAUGGGAGCGGGUUCUGCCAGAAGUAGUUAGCUUAACCGCAAGGAGGGCGAUUACCACGGCAGGGUUCGUGACUGGGGUGAAGUC
rnacentral:rRNA from 1 species